rnacentral:rRNA from 1 species
GGGGAUGACGUCAAACAUCAUGCCCCUUAUGAUUUGGGCUACACACGUGCUACAAUGGACAAUACAAAGGGCAGCGAAACCGCGAGGUCAAGCAAUCCCAUAAAGUUGUUCUCAGUUCGGAUUGUAGUCUGCAACUCGAUACAGAAGCUGGAAUCGCUAGUAAUCGUAGAUCAGCAUGCUACGGUGAAUACGUUCCCGGGUCUUGUACACACCGCCCGUCACACCACGAGAGUUUGUAACACCCGAAGCCGGUGGAGUAACCAUUGGAGCUA